GACGUAGGGCGCGAGCGUUGUCCGGAUUUAUUGGGCGUAAAGAGCUCGUAGGCGGCUUGUUGCGUCGACUGUGAAAACCCGCGGCUUAACUGCGGGCUUGCAGUUGAUACGGGCAGGCUAGAGUUCGGUAGGGGAGAUCGGAAUUCCUGGUGUAGCGGUGAAAUGCGCAGAUAUCAGGAGGAACACCGGUGGCGAAGGCGGAUCUCUGGGCCGAUACUGACGCUGAGGAGCGAAAGCGUGGGGAGCGAACAGG
rnacentral:rRNA from 1 species